AUACGUAUGUCGCAAGCGUUAUCCGGAUUUAUUGGGCGUAAAGCGCGUCUAGGCGGCUUAGUAAGUCUGAUGUGAAAAUGCGGGGCUCAACCCCGUAUUGCGUUGGAAACUGCUAAACUAGAGUACUGGAGAGGUAGGCGGAACUACAAGUGUAGAGGUGAAAUUCGUAGAUAUUUGUAGGAAUGCCGAUGGGGAAGCCAGCCUACUGGACAGAUACUGACGCUAAAGCGCGAAAGCGUGGGUAGCAAACAGGAUUAGAUACCCUGGUAGUCCACGCCGUAAACGAUGAUUACUAGGUGUUGGGGGUCGAACCUCAGCGCCCAAGCUAACGCGAUAAGUAAUCCGCCUGGAGAGUACGUACGCAAGUAUGAAACUCAAAGGAAUUGACGGGG
rnacentral:rRNA from 1 species